rnacentral:lncRNA from 1 species
AACGUGACUCUGCUCUUGCCCACCGCUUUCUCCGGAGUAUCCAAGCUUUGAGGCGACAGCGUUCUUCGCCGCUACAGCUUUGUCGGUUACAUACGAAGUCGCUGAGCCUAUCUUCUCUGUGUAGGUAGUGGGUUUUGACUCGUGCGUCUCCUUGAAGUCAUCUAUCUCUUUCGGACGAGAGAGUUCCGGUGAGAACUGAUCAUGAGUCCCCGUCGGUAAGUCUCUUCCCAAGACAUUCUCUACUUUCACAUCAUCACUUAUCGGCGGCAAAUGCUUCUCCAGUCCAGGUCCUGUUUCCUCACCAUAUCCCUUGGCCGUAUCCUUCACACCAAACUCAUGGCUCUUCGCCGGAAAAUCUUCCCCCAGCCCAGCGAUUGAUCCGCUGGCCAAAACCGUCGCCGAGUUCUUGUCUGUUUCAGAACCGUCCUCCCGACCAAACUCAUGGCUUCUUGUCCGAAAAUAUUUUCCCAUCCCAUCUUCAGAUUCCCCUCCAAAUCCCGCCGCAGAAUCCUUCCCGAUUGCGUGUUCGUCUUUCAGACCAAACUCAUGGCUUCUUGUCGGAAUCUCUCUUUCAAAAUCUCGUCCUGAUUUAUGAACAGGCGACUCAUCUCUAUCUGGUCGGUAGGGAUCUUCUCCACCGUCACUUCCACUUCCUUUACCGUUGUCCUCUUCUUAUCUCCUCCUCCGAGAUGAAGUUUCUCAGCAAUCACCUCGGAUAAUGCUUUGUCUUCCUCUCCAGGUCUCAGCUUCUCCGCCAAGUAGUCUCUAGUGGACGCACCUUUUUCUCCCACGUGUUGCUUCUCCUCAGCUCCGCUUCCACCUCCCGAAAGGGGCAAUUUCGUCAUCACGUUGGAUCCUGUCUCCUUGACCUUUUCAUAAACCGGAGUCAACUUAUCCGCCACAGUUCCCGCCACUUUCUGCCCGUAUCCCGUUGCAGAUCUUGGAGUUGUCUCAUCUCCAACGUGACUCUGCUCUUGCCCACCGCUUUCUCCGGAGUAUCCAAGCUUUGAGGCGACAGCGUUCUUCGCCGCUACAGCUUUGUCGGUUACAUACGAAGUCGCUGAGCCUAUCUUCUCUGUGUAGGUAGUGGGUUUUGACUCGUGCGUCUCCUUGAAGUCAUCUAUCUCUUUCGGACGAGAGAGUUCCGGUGAGAACUGAUCAUGAGUCCCCGUCGGUAAGUCUCUUCCCAAGACAUUCUCUACUUUCACAUCAUCACUUAUCGGCGGCAAAUGCUUCUCCAGUCCAGGUCCUGUUUCCUCACCAUAUCCCUUGGCCGUAUCCUUCACACCAAACUCAUGGCUCUUCGCCGGAAAAUCUUCCCCCAGCCCAGCGAUUGAUCCGCUGGCCAAAACCGUCGCCGAGUUCUUGUCUGUUUCAGAACCGUCCUCCCGACCAAACUCAU